rnacentral:snRNA from 1 species
AAGUGUGGAGGGCGAUCCGGCUGCGAUAUCUAUGACCCCAUUGACCACCAAGGUUGAUUUGGCUGAUCUGGCUGGCUAGACCUGUGUCCCCUUCCUCCCUCACCGCUCCAUGUGCGUCCCUCCCAAAGCUGUGCGCUCAGUAAAGAGGACGACCUUCCCCGAUAGAGAAGGACCAUUCUUUGGUCGAGGGUAUAUACAUGCCCCAGCUAGAACCUCCAAACAAGCUCUCAAGGUUCCAAUAUUAAAUUUUCAUAGGAAAUUAGGAUAACCCUUGUAAACAGUAUAUGUUCAAUGGACAUUUAUUUAGUU